rnacentral:lncRNA from 1 species
GGCCACACGGAAAGAGGAUUUAAUGAAGGCUGCCUAGUACACCAAGCAAAGUGGGGUGAAAGGUGCCUCGGUUGGGCCUUUCUACAAAAGACCAAAGCCCUCUCCUUUUGCACCUCAAGAGAAGCGGCACUCUAAGCAGUGACCUGUCUAGCCGCGGGACAUCCAAGUUUUGCUAGCUCAUGAGGAGGCUAUGUCGGAGUCUCCUGAUGC